rfam:Dipodomys ordii contig_32648, whole genome shotgun sequence.
AGGAAGCUGGCUCAGUGGUGGAGUGCUUGCCUUGCAUGCAUGAGGCCCUGGGUUCAAUUCCUCAGCAUCUAA